UACGGAGGAUGCAAGCGUUAUCCGGAAUGAUUGGGCGUAAAGCGUCCGCAGGUGGCUAUGUAAGUCUGCUGUUAAAGAGUGAGGCUCAACCUCAUAAGAGCAGUGGAAACUACAAGGCUAGAGUACGUUCGGGGCAGAGGGAAUUCCUGGUGUAGCGGUGAAAUGCGUAGAGAUCAGGAAGAACACCAGUGGCGAAGGCGCUCUGCUGGACCUGCACUGACACUGAGGGACGAAAGCUAGGGGAGCGAAAGGG
rnacentral:rRNA from 1 species